CUCUUCCUCUCCUUUUCCCCUUGCCUUUCCUCCCCCUUCCUCUCCCCCUUCCUCUCUCCCUUCCCUUCCAUGAGACCCUCCCCAACCCAUCUCUGCAUCUCCCAGCUCCUCCCACUCCUGCUCCUCCCUCGCCCUGCCCCCCUCCACCUAUCCCAACUCCACUCAUCCGCAGCCCAAACACUGAUCUGUUUUAGUUUGCAUUUUCUAGAGUCGUCCAUAAAUGGAAUCAUCCCAUAUGUACUUGAUUUUGUCUGGCUUCUUUCACUCAACAUAGUUACUUUGACAUGCCUGCGUGUUUUUGCAUGGAACAAUCAUUCAUUGCUUCCUGAGCAGUAUUCCAUUUAUGGAUAUACCACCGUGUGUUUAGUCAGCACUUGAUUUAGCCUGCUUUCAAUUUUUCCUGAUUAGAACUACAGCUGCUAGGAACAUCCCUGUGCAAAUCUUUGUACAGACAUAUACGGUUUUUCCUCUCUGGGGUAAAUACCUGGAAGUGGAAUGCCCAGGUCGUAAGGGAGUUUUUGGAAAACUAAAGGAGUUCGCAGGGUCAUACAUCAUCUUUUUCUUUCAUCUUGAAAACUAAGAAACGAAGAAAAAUUGGAUCAUGGAAAUACAGGAAUUUACAUCAGGUCUGUGCUGGGAGCCUUCCUGGGUGAUCCUGUGUUUCCAUCAUUAAUCACUUUGAACACUGCAUUUGCAUUCCUCAAUCCAUGUGCAGCUCAUUUGGCAGAAUGCUGAAGCCUUACUGGUCUGAGGUGUCAGAGGUCAGAGCCUGAGACUGACAGAGGAGCCACAGGUGACCAGCAAACUGCAGAAGCUCUGGGGAGAACUCCAUGGAGUCAGGCUAAAAACAGCAGCAACCAGAAACUGUAAGAACUGAGCAGAGAUACCAGCUGCACCACUAGAGAGACAAAGUGUGUAGCUCACUGCCUAGUACAGCAAAAUAGCCACAAUCCUCAGAAGGACACAACAGAAUCUGGAAUCACUAGAAAGUAUUAUCUACAAUGCUCAUUCUUAACCAUGCAAAGAAGAAACAGGAAAGUGUGAUUCAAAGUCAGAAAAAAGUCAGUCAAUAGAAAUCUACUCUGUUAGGGACAGGUGUUGGUGAAUUAAGUAAUUAGAGACUCUAAAGCAGCUAUGAUAAAUAUGUUCACAGAGGAAAGCUCAAUAGAGAAAUGAAACUUCAAACAUGGAAAUUUAAGACUUGAAAAGUACAAAAACUAGAAAGAAAAAUUUACUAGGUGGACCAAACGGCAGAUUAGAGAUGCCAAAAUUGCAUAAAUUGAACAGAGAUCAAAAGACGUUAUUUAAUCUAAAAAAUUGAAGAAAAAUGAGCAGAGCCUUAGAGUCCUGUAAAAUAUCAAGCAAGAUAACAUAUAUGUAAUUGGGUUCCGGAGGGAGAGAAGGAAUGGAAAAAAAUAUUUGCAUAAAUAAUGACUGAAAAAUUCCAUGAUUGGCAGAAAACACUAAUUUACAGAUCUAAGAAGGUCAAGCACCCCAAGCAGGAUAUAUAAUUAUAUCACUUCCAUGCAGAAGAGAAAUGCAGAAAGCCAAAGAUAAAGAGCAAAGUGUUGAAAGCAGCCAAAGAAAAGUGACACAUCACGUACAGGAAAAUAGUUCAGCUCAAUGGCUGAAUUUUCAUCAGAAAUACUGGCAUUCAGAAGAAAUUUAAAAAUGCUGAAAACAAAACUAGCAGCCAAGAAUUUUGUAUCAAGCAAAAAUGUCUUUUCAAAAUUAAAGGCAAAAGGAAGCAACUUCCAGAUAAAUUUAAAAGACAGAAUUUAUGCCAUUAUAUUUACACUGUAAGAAAUGCUAAAUGAGGUUCUUCAGGUUGAAGGGAAAUGACCCUGAUGACAACAUGGAUCUACAGGAAAAAAUGAAAAGCAUCAGAAAUCAUACAUAUGUGAGUAAAUAUAAAAUACUAAAUAUUGAUAGAUGAAUAUAUGGAUAGGUACUACACAAACACAUAUGAACAUAUAAUUCUUAAUAUCUUAACACAUGAUAUAGGACUCUUCAAAACAAAAAAUUAUUACAUUGUAUUGUUGGGUUUGUAAUGGACACAGAUAUAAAAUAUGUAACAAUAUUAAGAGUAGGAAAAGUAGAGAUACAUUGUUAAAAGGUUCUAGUAUUUUACUUGAAGUAGUUCAAUAUUAACUCUAGACUAUUAUAAGUUAAAGUUAAGUUGCGUAUUGUAAUCACUACAGCAACCACUAAAAAUAGAACAAAGAAAUACGGCAAAAAAGCCAAGAGACGAAUUAAAAUGUAACACUAAAGAAAAAAAAAAAACACUACGGGGGGCCGGGUGCAGUGGCUCAUGCCUGUAGUCCCAGCACUUUGGGAAGCCAAGGCAGGAGGAUCACCUGAGGUCAGGAGUUCGAGACUAGCCUGGCCAACAUGGUGAAACCCCUCCCCCCAACCAAAAAUACAAAAAUUAGCUGGAUGUGGUGGCACGUGCCUGUAAUCCCAGCUAGUUGGGAGGCUGAGUAGGAAAAUCACUUGAACCCAGGAGGCAGAAAUUGCAGUGAGCAGAGAUCGUGCCACUGCUCUCCAGCCUGGGUGACAGAGCAAGGCUCCAUCUCAAAAAAAAAAAAAAAAAUUAACACUACAAAAGGCAGGAAGAGAGGAACUGUGGAAUAAAACAGAUCAGACAAAUAUAAAUGGGAAGCUUAACUAUAACCAAAUCAAUAAUCAUAUGAUAAUUGAAAACUAAUCAAAAGGUAAUUAAGUGGAAACUGACAUAUUAAUAUGUGUUCAGUCCAUAUACAUAUAUUAUCUCUUUAGUUCCUUUUAAAAAGUGUUUUAUAUUUUUCAGUGUAUAGAUUUUGCAAAAAGUUUGGUAAAUUUAUCCCCAUGUAGUUCAUAUUUUAGGAAGGUAUUAUAAGUUCAAUUGUACUUUUGCUGUUUUGUUCAUUGCUCACAUAUAGAAAUAUGAUAAAUUUUUAUGUAUUGAACUUUCAUCCUUUGACCUCGAUAGAUCUAUUUAUUAGUUCUAGUAAGUUUCUGUAGUCUUCUUAAGAUUUUCUGUAUAAAUGGUCAUGCAAUCUGAAUAAAUACAGUUUUACGGCUUCCU
rnacentral:lncRNA from 10 species